AUCGCAGCCUACCAUGCAAGUCGAGGGGUAACGGGGUGCUUGCACCGCCGACGACCGGCGCACGGGUGAGCAACGCGUAUAGAACCUACCCGUUACAGGGGGAUAGCCCAGAGAAAUUUGGAUCAAUACCCCGUGGCGCCGGGGACCGGCAUCGGUCCCCGGCUAAAGAAUUUCGGUAACGGAUGGCUAUGCGUCCCAUUAGUUAGUUGGUAGGGUAACGGCCUACCAAGACUGCGAUGGGUAGGGGCCCUGAGAGGGGGAUCCCCCACACUGGUACUGAGACACGGACCAGACUCCUACGGGAGGCAGCAGUGAGGAAUAUUGGACAAUGGGCGGUAGCCUGAUCCAGCCAUGCCGCGUGCAGGAAGAAUGUCCUAUGGACUGUAAACUGCUUUUGUACGGGAAGAACCGGGGGCACGCGUGCCCCCCUGACGGUACCGUAAGAAUAAGGAUCGGCUAACUCCGUGCCAGCAGCCGCGGUAAUACGGAGGAUCCGAGCGUUAUCCGGAAUCAUUGGGUUUAAAGGGUCCGUAGGCGGGCCGUUAAGUCAGGGGUGAAAGUCUGCGGCUCAACCGUAGGACUGCCCUUGAUACUGGCGGCCUUGAGUUAUGGUGAAGUAGCCAGAAUAUGUGGUGUAGCGGUGAAAUGCAUAGAUAUCACAUGGAAUACCGAUUGCGAAGGCAGGCUGCUAACCAUAUACUGACGCUGAUGGACGAAAGCGUGGGUAGCGAACAGGAUUAGAUACCCUGGUAGUCCACGCCGUAAACGAUGGAUACUAGCUGUCCGGCGGCAACGCUGGGCGGCCAAGCGAAAGUGAUAAGUAUCCCACCUGGGGAGUACGUCCGCAAGGAUGAAACUCAAAGGAAUUGACGGGGGCCCGCACAAGCGGUGGAGCAUGUGGUUUAAUUCGAUGAUACGCGAGGAACCUUACCAGGGCUUGAAUGUAGUGCGACAGGCCCAGAGAUGGGCCCUUCUUCG
rnacentral:rRNA from 1 species